rnacentral:rRNA from 1 species
UACAGAGGUCUCAAGCGUUGUUCGGAUUCAUUGGGCGUAAAGGGUGCGUAGGUGGCGUGGUAAGUCGGGUGUGAAAUUUCGGAGCUUAACUCCGAAACUGCAUUCGAUACUGCCGUGCUUGAGGACUGGAGAGGAGACUGGAAUUUACGGUGUAGCGGUGAAAUGCGUAGAUAUCGUAAGGAAGACCAGUGGCGAAGGCGGGUCUCUGGACAGUUCCUGACGCUGAGGCACGAAGGUCAGGGGAGCAAACAGG